rnacentral:tRNA from 1 species
AGCAGCGUGGCUCAGUGGAAAGAGCCUGGGCUUCGGACUCAGAGGUCAUGGGUUCGACUCCCGGCUCUGCCA